rnacentral:rRNA from 1 species
UACGUAGGGGGCGAGCGUUGUCCGAAGUUACUGGGCGUAAAGCGCGCGUAGGCGGUCAUUUAAGUCUGAGGUGAAAGGUUCAGCGCUCAACGUGAACAGUGCCUUGGAUACUGGGUGACUUGAGUUCGGGAGGGGGCAGUGGAAUUCCAGGUGUAGCGGUGAAAUGCGUAGAUAUCUGGAAGAACACCGGUGGCGAAGGCGGCCUUCUGGACGAUGACUGACGCUGAGACGCGAAAGCGUGGGGAGCAAACAGG